AGCAGCCGCGGUAAUUCCAGCUCCAAUAGCGUAUAUUAAAGUUGUUGCAGUUAAAAAAGCUCGUAGUUGAAUUUCGGGAUUUAUCCGUCGGUCGGGCUUUUGGGUCUGUACUGGCGUGAUGAAUUCCUACCUUCUGAAUAACCGGCAUGUCAUUAAUUUGGUGCGCUGGGGAAGCAGGACUGUUACCUUGAAAAAAUUAGAGUGCUUAAAGCAGGCUAUUGCCUGAAUACAUUAGCAUGGAAUAAUGAAAUAGGACGGCAUGGUUCUAUUUUGUUGGUUUCUAGGAUCACCGUAAUGAUUAAUAGGGAUAGUUGGGGGCAUUUAGUAUUCAAUUGUCAGAGGUGAAAUUCUUGGAUUUAUUGAAGACUAACUUCUGCGAAAGCAUUUGCCAAGGAUUGUUUUCAUUAAUCAAGAACGAAAGUUAGGGAUCGAAGACGAUCAGAUACCGUCGUAGUCUAACCAUAAACUAUGCCGAUAGGAUCGGACGUAUGUUUAAUUUUUAAUGUACUCGUUCGCGCCU
rnacentral:rRNA from 1 species